rnacentral:rRNA from 1 species
AUUGAACGCUGGCGGCAUGCCUUACACAUGCAAGUCGAACGGCAGCACGGGUGCUUGCACCUGGUGGCGAGUGGCGAACGGGUGAGUAAUACAUCGGAACAUGUCCUGUAGUGGGGGAUAGCCCGGCGAAAGCCGGAUUAAUACCGCAUACGAACUACGGAAGAAAGCGGGGGACCUUCGGGCCUCGCGCUUUAGGGUUGGCCGAUGGCUGAUUAGCUAGUUGGUGGGGUAAAGGCCUACCAAGGCGACGAUCAGUAGCUGGUCUGAGAGGACGAUCAGCCACACUGGAACUGAGACACGGCCCAGACUCCUACGGGAGGCAGCAGUGGGGAAUUUUGGACAAUGGGCGAAAGCCUGAUCCAGCAAUGCCGCGUGUGUGAAGAAGGCCUUCGGGUUGUAAAGCACUUUUAUCCGGAAAGAAAUCCUUGGCCCUAAUACGGUCGGGGGAUGACGGUACCGGAAGAAUAAGCACCGGCUAACUACGUG